rnacentral:tRNA from 1 species
UGCGGCUCAGUUGGUAGAGUACUUGCCUAGCAUGCAUGAUGGUCUAGGUUCAAGUCCCAGCACCGCAU